CGCACGGGUGAGUAACACGUAUCCAACCUGCCGUCUACUCUUGGACAGCCUUCUGAAAGGAAGAUUAAUACAAGAUGGCAUCAUGAGUCCGCAUGUUCACAUGAUUAAAGGUAUUCCGGUAGACGAUGGGGAUGCGUUCCAUUAGAUAGUAGGCGGGGUAACGGCCCACCUAGUCUUCGAUGGAUAGGGGUUCUGAGAGGAAGGUCCCCCACAUUGGAACCGAGACACGGUCCAA
rnacentral:rRNA from 1 species